CGUUGUAAUUUGAUACAGAUGCCUUCAGACCCGCCAAAGACAAACAAAAUUUAAAACAAUAGAUCUCAUCGACCAAGCAUGUUUAUAUAUUGCCGAUGCAACAGAUACAGAUCAUCUCAUUAGAAUAAUGAAGGAAUCAAAAGCCAGCUUAAUAAUUACAGCAGUGGAAGGACUGUGACACUGAAGAGGGAAUGAACAGACCUAGAAUUAAUCCAUUUUAUUGAUCACAUUGAGGCAAAGAUCAGAUAUAAAACAAUGAAGAAAGAAAAGGAUGACCUUAUUUAAAAAUCAGAUAUUACAAAAGUUCAACUGACAACCGAAAAGAACUGCCCACCAAGCACCUUUAUCAUUCAAUUAUGCUGUUAAGACCUUAGAAGUAUUAGACUACUAGUACUAUUUUUUUUUACAGGAACUACUUGUGGUACAGCAAUAUAGAUUGGAUAGUGCAUUGUAUUGUAGAAUUUACAAUACAUGUGAACAUUUCUGCUAAAAUGUCCUUGAAAUGAUUUUUUCCAUCAU